CCUACGGGAGGCUGCAGUGGGGAAUAUUGCACAAUGGGGGAAACCCUGAUGCAGCAACGCCGCGUGAGUGAAGAAGUAUUUCGGUAUGUAAAGCUCUAUCAGCAGGGAAGAAGAUGACGGUACCUGAGUAAGAAGCCCCGGCUAACUACGUGCCAGCAGCCGCGGCAAUACGUAGGGGGCAAGCGUUAUCCGGAUUUACUGGGUGGAAAGGGAGCGUAGACGGUGAGGCAAGUCUGAAGUGAAAGCCCGGGGCGCAACCCCGGGACUGCUUUGGAAACUGCCUGACUGGAGUGCUGGAGAGGCAAGCGGAAUUCCUAGUGUAGCGGUGAAAUGCGUAGAUAUUAGGAAGAACACCAGUGGCGAAGGCGGCUUGCUGGACAGUAACUGACGUUGAGGCUCGAAAGCGUGGGGAGCAAACAGGAUUAGAUACCCGGGUAGUC
rnacentral:rRNA from 1 species